ACUACCCCUGCUUGAAACCCUCCAGUGCUUUACCUUGGAUUGUCUCACGCCUCUGCAUCUGCUUCGACCCGCCCAUGGGUAAUGUUGCUGUUCGCCCAGAAAAAUCUGGUAUUCUGCGGUGCCCGAAUAAAACCAGAGUUUGCACCCUGGAACCUCUUUUGGUCUAUCAACACAUACGCCCCCGGCUGAAAUCACGUUCAGGAACCAAAAUGGACUCUGAAAUGUGUAGGCUGAAAAGCGGUAUCAGUGGUGGCAGAUGGCUGUACACACUGAGCCAGAUUGACCCAGAGGUUCCUUUCAGUUCAAAGGGAGUUUUCCUUUCCACUAUCGCCACAUGCAUGCUCAGUAUGAGGGAUUGCUGGACAAUUCCCGAAUAGAUGUAAUCAAUCGGCCACUGUUGCCACAUGAUCAUUCAGGAGGAGCUAUUGCUGCAUAGUCCGUGAUUUGAUGCAAUAAGCUGAUUUUCCAUUAAUGGAAAUCUUUUUUUAUCAGUAAUCCUAAUAAACUGAAAUUGAGAGCUUGGAUAUAACUGAAAUGUAUGUAACUGACAGAAUUUAUCUGUAUGAAUGAAUAGAAUUUGCUAUAUUUUUCUGCACAAAAACUGGAUCUGUUUGUUGAGGUGUCAUUUGUUGCAAAUCAGCGUUGUAUUUUCUUAAUUUGUUGUCUGAAUAAAUAGACAACAAAAUUUGCUUCAGUAUGUUUUUGGGGAGCUACAAGUCUUCUUGUCUGAUGUAACUACUUACAUAGCUAAUAAUGACUAAUUAUUUUUCAUCGUGGCACCAUAGAUAGAGGUUUGAUGUUUGAUUUCUUCAUAUUGAUUUUUAUGCUGUGAAUGACAAUAAACAUAACAUCACAUUAGUUAAACACAUUUCACGUCCAUCAACCAGUAAUGUAUCAAUGUGUUUUUUUUCUAAUUGUAAUUUUGGGUUUCAUUUGCUUUUCUCUUGUGCUUUAAGUAACAAUUUUGGAGGUUUCACACAUGAAAGAUUACCUAAAUAUUGUUAUACAAUGAAAACUGCCUGUUAUAAAUUACAACAUGGUUUCCAUAACCACA